CAGUAGCCACGGGAUACAGAGGGUGCAAGCGUUAAUCGGAAUUACUGGGCGUAAAGCGCGCGUAGGUGGUUUGUUAAGUUGGAUGUGAAAGCCCCGGGCUCAACCUGGGAACUGCAUCCAAAACUGGCAAGCUAGAGUACGGUAGAGGGUGGUGGAAUUUCCUGUGUAGCGGUGAAAUGCGUAGAUAUAGGAAGGAACACCAGUGGCGAAGGCGACCACCUGGACUGAUACUGACACUGAGGUGCGAAAGCGUGGGGAGCAAACAGGAUUAGAUACCCCUGUAGUCCCUGUCUCUUAUACA
rnacentral:rRNA from 1 species